AAUCAACGCUGGCGGCGUGCCUCAGACAUGCAAGUCGAACGCGAAAGUCUCCUUCGGGGGGACAAGUAGAGUGGCGCACGGGUGAGUAACACGUAGGUAAUCUACCUUCGAUGGGGAAUAACAACCGGAAACGGUUGCUAAUACCGCAUAAUGCAGCGGCACCUAAUGUGACAGUUGUUAAAGCGGGGGAUCGAAAGACCUCGCGUCUGAAGAGGAGCCUGCGGCGGAUUAGCAGUUGGUAGGGUAACGGCCUACCAAGGCGACGAUCCGUAGCCGGCCUGAGAGGGCGGUCGGCCACACUGACACUGACAUACGGGUCAGACUCCUACGGGAGGCAGCAGUC
rnacentral:rRNA from 1 species